GUGGAUGUAGCUCAGUUGGUUAGAGCGCCGGUCUGUGGAACCGGAGGUCGCGGGUUCAAGUCUCGUCAUCCACCCCA
rnacentral:tRNA from 1 species